rfam:Bacilli bacterium VT-13-104 contig040, whole genome shotgun sequence.
AUUGAGUGGGAAUAAGAGGCUAACUUGAUUUGAAGAGAGAACGCUGAUUUAACAGCAUUUAUCCUACUCAAAAAUGAAGAAAAUGUAUAAAAAAUGAUAUAGUUCCCUACCAAAAACCCUACCAAGAAAAAAUUUUGGUAGGGAAUUUUUU